GGCGCGCUCUGCGCGCACCGGCGGACGGCUCAGUAACACGUCGGUAACCUACCCUCGGGAGGGGGAUAACCCCGGGAAACUGGGGCUAAUCCCCCAUAGGCCUGAGGUACUGGAAGGUCCUCAGGCCGAAAGGGGCACCUGCCCGCCCGAGGAUGGGCCGGCGGCCGAUUAGGUAGUUGGUGGGGUAACGGCCCACCAAGCCGAAGAUCGGUACGGGCCAUGAGAGUGGGAGCCCGGAGAUGGACACUGAGACACGGGUCCAGGCCCUACGGGGCGCAGCAGGCGCGAAACCUCCGCAAUGCGGGAAACCGCGACGGGGGGACCCCCAGUGCCGUGGCAUCGCCACGGCUUUUCCGGAGUGUAAAAAGCUCCGGGAAUAAGGGCUGGGCAAGGCCGGUGGCAGCCGCCGCGGUAAUACCGGCGGCCCGAGUGGUGGCCGCUAUUAUUGGGCCUAAAGCGUCCGUAGCCGGGCCCGUAAGUCCCUGGCGAAAUCCCACGGCUCAACCGUGGGGCUUGCUGGGGAUACUGCGGGCCUUGGGACCGGGAG
rnacentral:rRNA from 1 species